UUCUUCGAAUCUCUGUUUUGUUGUUGUGAGUUUUUUUUUAUGAGUUGGUAGACUCUUGUAGUUAGUCUAGUUUUAGAUACAAAGAAGGAUUAUGAUGUGUCUUAGAAGUCUGCUGUUAUUUUUACAGAACUUUACAGAUCCAAGAAGCUACCUGAAAAUAGAUGUUGUUGGUCAUCAUUAUCCGAUUUAGAUUGGACUUUGCAUUGAGUACUUCAUCGUCAUUAA